UACCCGCAGCACAAGUGGUGGUCAUUAUUAUUGGGCCUAAAGCGUCCGUAGCUGGCGUGUUAGAUGCCUGGGUAAAUCGAUGCGCUUAACGUAUCGAAUUCCGGGUAGACCGGCACGCUCGAGACCGGGAGAGGUGUAGGGUACUCGGGGGGUAGGGGUAAAAUCCUGUAAUCCUCCGGGGACGACCAGUGGCGAAGGCGCUACACUAGAACGGCUCUGACAGUGAGGGACGAAGCCCUGGGGCGCAAACCGG
rnacentral:rRNA from 1 species